GACGAAGGGAGCGAACGUUAUUCGGAAUCACUGGGCUUAAAGGGCGCGUAGGCGGGCGGUCAAGUCAGGGGUGAAAGCCCCCAGCUCAACUGGGGAAGUGCCUUUGAUACUGGUCGUCUCGAGGGGGAUAGGGGCGUGCGGAACUUCCGGUGGAGCGGUGAAAUGCGUAGAUAUCGGAAGGAACACCGGUGGCGAAAGCGGCGCGCUGGAUCCCUUCUGACGCUGAGGCGCGAAAGCCAGGGGAGCGAACGGG
rnacentral:rRNA from 1 species